AUUGAACGCUGGCGGCAUGCUUUACACAUGCAAGUCGAACGGUAACAGGUUAAGCUGACGAGUGGCGAACGGGUGAGUAAUGCAUCGGAACGUGCCCGAUCGUGGGGGAUAACGCAGCGAAAGCUGCGCUAAUACCGCAUACGAUCUGAGGAUGAAAGCGGGGGACCGUAAGGCCUCGCGCGAUCGGAGCGGCCGAUGUCAGAUUAGGUAGUUGGGGGGGUAAAGGCCCACCAAGCCGACGAUCUGCAGCUGGUCUGAGAGGACGACCAGCCACACUGGGACUGAGACACGGCCCAGACUCCUACGGGAGGCAGCAGUGGGGAAUUUUGGACAAUGGGCGAAAGCCUGAUCCAGCAAUGCCGCGUGCAGGAAGAAGGCCUUCGGGUGUAAACUGCUUUUGUACGGAACGAAAAGGUCUCUCUUAAUACGGGGGGCUCAUGACGGUACCGUAAGAAUAAGCACCGGCUAACUACGUGCCAGCAGCCGCAGUAA
rnacentral:rRNA from 1 species